rnacentral:lncRNA from 1 species
UUAUAAAGGUCGAGUCAAUAUAAGCCACAGCUCUCUUUGGUUGACUCCACAUAACAGUUAGAGACUCGUUGGGGACGAGAGUCUUCGCUUUUCCGUAAUUUACCGCCUCACUGUUGUAAACGCUGCGCUCUUCUUGAUACAAAAUACGGCAAGGUUGUGUGUGCACGAAAUCAGCAACAUGCGUUCACUGUUUUGGCUUCUUUACGUUGGAAUGGCUGUUAUCAUCAUGAUGGAUUUCUGCACAGCACAGGAAUCCCAGUACACAACAGACUGCACGAGGUAUAUUACUUUACCGGGUUGCCCCAAAAAUUACAGACCGCACUGCACCACUGUUGACGGGACAGUGUACCAGUACGCCAACCUAUGCCUGCUGUGCAGAGCGAUCGAGAGCGAGGAACUUCCCGAGGACGUCUCCUUCGCACGGUGCACCGAAGAACAACUUGAAAAUAACCAGUAACAGGAAACUGGAUAAUUGUAGUGGAAAUUCGUGAUAGAUUAUGUCAUGUCUUGUGAAAUGGUUGCACUGUGAUCUCAGUCAAAGAUACAUAUCUGUGAAGACAACACUCUGGCCUUAUUAAUUAAUUAAGUUGAGACAUGCUAGAAAUGAUAGGAUUCACUGCAUCUCCUUUUUCCUUGGUUUUACCUGUAUGCCUAGAGAAAAGUGCUGAGUAAUUCAAAUUAGUCAUUGUAAUUGGAAAGCUUCCUGGAAGGAUAUUAGUCUGUUUCACUAAUAAUGUCGGUUGAAGAGGGAAUAACGCAAGUUGAUCAUUUAAACAUAGUAGUUUGCUCUUUUGCAUAGUACUAAUCAUUAAUUAAUUCAUUGGUAUACAAAGUAGCAGAAACUGAGUAUGUUAUCACAAUUUCUUGGAAAGAAAAGAAGAAUCGCCUCCAGAGUUUUGAUAGUUUUCCAUCGUCUUUUCAUUGUUAUCGUUUCAAUUAAUUUUCUUAGUUUCUUUCCAUCACUGGGUUACGGUAGUAAAUUGUUGUUUUAAAGUUAGAACAAUCAGCACAAACAUCACUAAUCUUUUUAAAACCUGUCAAAUAAAGUAAUAUCGAUUUGGCAAAGCAUCGCUAACAAUAGAAAGUGUGCUACCACUUUGUUAAGCAUGUAUUGAUGCCCGAUAUAACCUGUCCUUGGUAUGUUUUGCGGAGUGUCCACGUACACAGCGACCUUCAUCCUAUUGUUGUUUACUCAAGGACAGCUGCAAAUUCUCUGGAGUGGAUCAAGGAUUUUUUUUCUGGGGGGGUUGGGGAAUUUUUGUUUAUACAACGCAUAGUCAGGUAGUUGUCGCCGUUGGUGGAGCCAUUAUAACUAUCACAAGGUCGACUGUUAUAAAGCUCUGAAGCAGAAAACAUUGCCCUGUGAAUUAAAAUGUUGACAAAAAACAAGCACUGAAUCCAUUGCAAGUUCCCCGCGGUUGGUUUGCCUGUUUGCAAUGCAGAACAGUCUCAGGUCAUCAAAAAUUCAUUUUCAAAUUGCCAUAAACUUUUUUCCCAGAAUAUACCUGACCCAGUCGGCCAUUUCUGAACUCUCAUCUUCCAUUUAUUUGAAGUUGAACUGAAUCCCAGUUUUUAAGGUUUCAUAUUGAAGUGUCCUCAUUUUUUCUGACGUUCUGGUUAUAUUCCUGCAGCUUAUUACGUUCCAGUGCCUAUUAGGGGUCUUCCUUAUCCUUUACACGAAGGUCCUGAAAUAAAAUUGGCCGUGAUCUCCCUCCAUCCGCUCGUGAUACUGCAUUGACAAGGGAAGAAAAGUGUGACGGGUGGCUUUGAGCUAAUAUCUUUAAAACAAGUUGGAGUCUGGUGUUUGUAUGGACCGAGCAGAAGAUCUACAAAUCUUUCAAAAAUCAGCCUUUGGUCUGCAAACCGUUCUAAUUUGUACGUUGUCACUCAGAUAUAUAAUGCGCCUCGAGCUGGACCAAGAGAGGGCACUAUUUCCCAAGAAAGGAAGCCGCCUUUGGUACUAGUUACACAUCCCUGGUUCACGAAAGAACCAGGAAACCCAAGCGUUGCAGUCGCAUCGCUACCAACAAACUUAACACUCCCAACUAACGCGGGGGUGCUUCUGCUCGACGGGUAAUGUAAUAAAAUCGCAGAUAUUAAUGGCGCCCUUUUUAUUAGUCAAAAUGAUUAUUGCAAUAGUUCAUUACUUGAAAUCUCAAAUCGAUAAUCAUAAAUGUGUUCAAAAUGCUGCUGCUGGAUUAGUUAGUAACCAAAGUAUUGUCAUAUUAUUCCAUGUAUUUAUCAAUACUUGAACUGCAAUACCUAUUACCAAUCGCAAUUCAGUUCAAACAUCUGUCCAUGUGGUUUGGGUUAGUUUUCAUUUCGCUUCAUAAACUUUACCCUGACUCUUUUGUUGACACCUUCCAUCUGCGUCAUCUCAACCGGUACUUAUGUCGUCGGAUCAACUCUACCUGAAGAUACCCUUUUCGCAAAACAAACUUGGCGACAAGUCAUUUACCAUUGCUGGUCCAAAACUCUGGAAUGAACUCCCGAUUGAAACUACGCAGCAACGAAAAUUGUCAGCUUAAAUAUAAAGUUAAACUUUUUUCUUUCAACAGGCUUUUUAUGUGUGAUUAUCGUGAGUAGGCCUAAUGCGCUACUCACUUUCAUCGCAACUUGUACAAAGAAUGAAUAUUGAGCUAGGCAGUGGCUCCUUUCCAGGCCACUUAACAGGUUUCCC